UACCUGAUUGAUUCUGUCAGCGCUAUAUGCUCAUUUAAGGUUGAGCCAUCAAUGUCGAGUUCAACUUUCAAGUGAAACUGCGAACGGCUCAUUAGAGCAGAUGUAAUUUAUUCGGAAUUAUUCAAAUGGAUAACUGCGGUAGUUCUGGAGUUAAUAAAUGCGAUGAAUCUUUUAAAGUUGAAGUUCAAAGUUAAAGUUUGAAACCCUGACUUUUAAAAGGGUGCAAUUACUCGAGCAAAUCAGUGAUAUUCGGAUUUAUAGUUUGCUGACUCUGAAUAACGCGGCAUAUGGGCGGCAUAGUUCGCCGAUAUUCCGAAAAAGUGUCUGCCCUAUCAACCUGAUGGUAGUCUAUUAGGCCUUAGAAACGGCUACCACAUCCAAGGAAGGCAGCAGGCGCGAAACUUAUCCAAUCUUGAAGAGAUGAGAUAGUGACUAAAAAUAAAAAGACCAUUCCUAUGGAAAGUUUUUUUUUUUUUACGUUUUUUUACGUUUUUUCAAGUAUCGAGUGGAGGGCAAGUCUGGUGCCAGCAGCCGCGGUAAUUCCAGCUCCACUAGUGUAAAUCGUCAUUGCUGCAGUUAAAAAUCUCGUAGUUGGAUCUGAGUUACACGCAAUCGAUUCGCCUUUGGCGUUAAUCGUUGUUGUAAAUAUACGUGCUGGUUUUCUAUUAGAGUUUCGACUUCUCUAGUGACUAGCGAGUUUUCUUUGAAUAAACUAGAGUGCUCAAAACAAGCGUUUGCUUGAAUUGUUGAUCAUGAAUAGAAGAGGACUUCGGUUCUAUUUAUUGGUUCAGGAACUGGAAUAAUGGUUAAGGGGGACAAUUCGGGGGCAUUCGUAUUCCUGCGUGAGAGGUCAAAUUCGUGGACCACAGGGAGACGCCCUAAAGCGAAAGCGUUUGCCAAGAAUGUCUUCAUUAAUGAAGA
rnacentral:ncRNA from 1 species